AGUGAACGCUGGCGGUAGGCCUAACACAUGCAAGUCGAACGGCAGCACAGUAAGAGCUUGCUCUUACGGGUGGCGAGUGGCGGACGGGUGAGGAAUACAUCGGAAUCUACUUUUUCGUGGGGGAUAACGUAGGGAAACUUACGCUAAUACCGCAUACGACCUACGGGUGAAAGCAGGGGAUCUUCGGACCUUGCGCGAUUGAAUGAGCCGAUGUCGGAUUAGCUAGUUGGCGGGGUAAAGGCCCACCAAGGCGACGAUCCGUAGCUGGUCUGAGAGGAUGAUCAGCCACACUUGAACUGAGACACGGUCCAGACUCCUACGGGAGGCAGCAGUGGGGAAUAUUGGACAAUGGGCGCAAGCCUGAUCCAGCCAUACCGCGUGGGUUAAGAAGGCCUUCGGGUUGUAAAGCCCUUUUGUUGGGAAAGAAAAGCAGCAGGUUAAUACCCCGCUGUUCUGACGGUACCCAAAGAAUAAGCACCGGCUAACUUCGUG
rnacentral:rRNA from 1 species